GUGCUAUAGUUCAGAGCUUGGGUAAAUGUGCAACCACGCUGCUUCCUCAGUGCUCCAAACAGAGAGAAUUCUUAUGCAAAUUUAAGAAUCUGCCCUUGUGGAGAGGAGCGAUCUCCUUUUACAACUGUCUGGGAUUUGUAUGGAGGUGGAAUUCGGCAGUUACAGAAAACCAGUAGGAGCCUUCUGAGCUCACAGAACCUCCAGAACAUCAGCUGGAAGUGCAGUGGCUGCAUCUGGAGACCCUGUGCCCCAGUCCUCGGGCUGAGCUUUGAAGAAGAGACCUCCAGCAGCACUGGUGAGUACAGAGAUGGCCACGGAGACAGAAAUGAAAGCGGCAGAGCACCGCGAGGGCACAGCCGAGGCUUGUGGAGACAGCGCUCCAACUCUCCAGACAGCAGACCUAAAGGAGUCUCAUCCUAAAAAGGGAUCCAAGCACUAAAAUAACUGGCACUCACUCGUCUUAAAAGCUCAGAGGAACAGUGCUGAUUCUGUACCAACCUGGCAGAAAUUCUGAGGAAAAAAUUGAGGUUCCUUCUAUAAAUCAGAGUUACAUAGCCCAGUAUAGUGGAGAUGGAAUGAAAUUAAGAAAACCUGUAAUUCAAGCAUCAUCUUCUAUAGAACUAGUGGCCUGAUGUGUCUUGCCCAAGUUCACACAGCAAUUUAGAAGACAAUUUAGAUUAAGAAUCAUGGAGGUUCAGCAACUCCGAAUUCAGUGUUCGGUUCACUUCCUUUUAUCCUGAAGACAGAGUUCUCAGGAGGACGACGCUACAGUGAGUUCAGAAAGUUUCCCUCUGGAGCCUGGAGAACGUUGAAACAGAUCCUGAAGACAGGCAGGCAUUGCUGUGUGGAAAUGAAGUUUCCAGGACUUGAAAAACAUGUAAUUAAACCCUAGCAGCCGAAUGGAAACUGGAAGUGACUUACAUCACCUAUUUGUAACCCAAAGGAGAGACAAUCAGUUGACCAGUGGUUAUUUUUAAAUAAAGUUUUUUAAAAUGAAAAGAAGGAGCAUUUUCAUUUUCACUUUUAGAACAAAAGAAUGUAUGAUUUAUGAAAGAAAAAUAUACUUUCAUUGCUUAAUGGCCUUGAAAACAUAUCACAAGACAACAUUAUGCUUCUUUCUUAUUGGACUUUUUAUAUUUUCAUAAUCAUGAAAUAUUUCCUUAGAUGAUCACAUGCAAUAAUUGCCCAUUUUACAAAGAAGAAUCAUUGUCCUACAAUAGUGGUACAAUAGACAAAUGCUCUCUUUAAAAGAUUCUUAGUACAGGUUUGGUUUCAGAAAAUCACCUGCAAAUCAGUACAUGAACAUUCUGCAGGGAACUGAGCUGCAAUGGUCAAUGCCAUUUAACAACUCUUUAAAACUGGAAAAGGACUAUCAUCAUGAUGCCCACCCUCCCCAUCUUCAGUCAGUUAAAGAUGAGCAGUGUCAAUUUAUUUAUUUAUUUUAUAUCCUUUUAUUGGUACAUUUUAGGUGUACAAUAUAAUGAACUUCAUCAUUGGAGAUAUGCACCUUUACAUACUCUUUUGGUUCCUAGUUUUUCCCCCAUCCCCUGCCCUCCCUUCAACCCCUCCAAUCUCUCCCUAUUUACAAAGACUUUGUUUCCAUUUUUAUCUUUUCUCAUAUUAAUUCCACUCCCUUCUUUCCUUUCCCCUACCCCUCCCACUUCCCCCUCCCCUUUGUCCCUUUUCUUCCUAUUUCACAUUAUCUAUUAUACGUUUUACUCCUUAUUUACACUUUCAGUUUCUCACACUAGAGAAACUAUUCAGUAUUUACACAUGUGUGUCCUAUUUAUUUCACUUAAGAGUAUGGCCUCAAUGUGCAUCCAUUUAGCAAUAAAAGUCUCUAAUUUCUCAUUUUUUAUGGCUGAGUAGUACUCCAUUUUAAUUUAAAAACCCACAUUUUCUUGAUCCAGUCUCCAGUUGAUGGGCAUUUGGGCUGUUUCCAAGUUUUAGCUAUUACAAACUGUGCUGCUAUGAACAUGGGUGCACAUAUAGCACUGUGGUAUGAUUCUUUUAAUUCUUUGGGGAAGAUAUGCCACAAGGGAAUAGCUGCGUUAAAUGGGACUUCCAGUCCUAGUUCUUUGAGGUAUCUCCAUACUGAUUUCCACAGUGCUUGCACCAGUCUACACUCCCACCAGCAGUGGAGCAGUGUUCUUCUUUCCCCAUAGCCCUGCCAGCAUUUGAUGUUAGUUGAUUUCAUGAUAGCAGCUAUUCUUUCUGGGGUGAGGUGGAAUCUCAGCGUUGUUUUCAUUUGCAUCUCUCGAAUGACCAGUGAUGUGGAACAUUUUUUCAUAUGUUUAUUUGCCAUGUCUAAUUCUUUGUCUGGGAAAUGUCUGUUCAUUUCAGAUGCCCAUUUUUGGACUGGGUCUUUAAAUUUGGGAGGUCUGAUUUUUUUUCAGUUCUUUAUAGAUUCAAGAUAGUAGACCUUUGUCUGAAGGAUCAAUGGUGAAAAUUUUUUCCCACAUUGUGGGUUGUCUCUUCACACUGCUGGUGGUUUCUCUUGCUGUGCAGAAGCUUUUUAGUAAAAAGAGAUCCCACUUGGUUGUUUGUGCUAGUUCAUGGGCAACUGAGGUUUUGUUCAUAAAGUCUUUUCCUACUCCAAUGUCUUCAAGAGUUCUACCUGACCUCUGUUCCAGCCGGUUCAGAGUUUCUGUUUUUAUAUUUAGAUCUUUAAUCCAUUUUGAUUUGAGAUUAGUGCAUGGUGAGAGAUACAGGUCUAGUUUUAGUCUUUGGCAAGUUGAAACCCAACUUCUCCAGCACCAUUUAUUAAAGAGAUUAUCUUUCCUCCAGCGAGGGGGUUUGGCUCCUUUGUCAAAGAUGAGGUGGCUGAGUGUGUCUGGAGUUGUUUCUGCAUCUUCUAAUCUGUUCCACUGGUCUUCAGGCCUGUUUCUUUGCCAGUACCAUGCUGUUUUUAUCACAGUAGCUUUGUAGUAUACUUUCAAGUUGGGGAUUGUGAUACCCCCUGCCAUGUCUCUGUUACCUAGAAUUGCUUUUGCUAUUCUGGGUCUCUUCUUGCUCCAAAUGAAUUUUCGGAUUGUUUUCUCAAGGUCUAUGAAGUAUGCUGCUGGGAUUUCAAUUGGGAUUGCAUUGAAUCUAUAUAGCAAUUUUGGAAGUAUAGCCAUUUUCACUAUGUUGAUCCUUCCUACCCAGGAGAAGGGAUGUCUUUCCAUUUUCUGAUAUCCCCUUCAAUAUCUUCUUUCAAAGUGCUAUAGUUUUCAGAGAACAGGUUUUUUAUUUCUUUUGUAAGGUUGACUCCUAGGUGUUUCAGUUUUUUGGAUGCUAUUGUGAAAGGAAUUGUUUGCCCUAGUUUUCUUUCAGUGACUGUUGUUCAUGUAGAGGAAAGCUAUUGAUUUUUUGUGUGUUGAUCUUGUAUCCAGCUACUUUAAUGAAUUUGGUUAUUAAGUCUAGAAGACUUUUAGUGGAGUUCUUGGGCUCUUCUAUGUAGAGUAUCAUGUCAUCUGCAAAUAAUGACAAUUUGACUUCUUCAUUUCCUAUCUUUAUUCCUCUUAUUUCUCUCUUGUCUAAUUGCUGUAGCUAAUGUUUCCAAAACUAUAUUGAACAGGAGUGGUGAUAGUGGACAUCCUUGUCUUGUUCCUGAUUUUAGUGUGAAGGAUUUCAGUUUUUGACCAUUUAGUAUGAUAUUGGCUGUUGGUUUUUCAUAGAUGGCUUUUAUCAGAUUGAGGUAGAGACCAUCUAUUCUGAUUUUUUGUAGGGUUUUUAAUCAUAAAUGCAUGUUGGAUUUUGUCAAAUGCUUUUUCUGCAUCUAUUGAGAUGAUCAUAUGGUUUUUGUCCCUGGC
ensembl:lncRNA